UAUGCAGAUUUGGUUUAAAGGAUUGAUGUGCUUGCAUGAUGACACUGGGGUUGUUAGUUCCUCUAGAAAUGAGAUAUUGAGUUCCAGCAUAGUGAUAUGCAGAGUGAGUCUGCUUCACUCAUGGGCGGAAGAGUAUCACGAGGUGACAACAAUAUAGACCACCAAGCAAAUACAUGUCACUUUUAUAUAUUUAUUUAUUGUUGACCUACUCUAGAUUGUAAAAUGUUCAAGCUACCAUAUACCGUAUGUGUUGUAUAACCUUAGUUUGAUAUGAACUUGAAUUUGUGAUGUUGGUUUGUUUAGAUACUUUUAAUGGAAUUAAAUUUACGG